rnacentral:sRNA from 1 species
AAACUUCAGCGUCACAGCUGAGGACUGGCUUCGUGGUCCCUGAUGGGAGAGCAUGAACAGGUGGUAUGUGAAGCCCUUGGAGACCAGCUCUUCCAAAGUCAAAGCCAAGACCAUUGUGAUGAUUCCCGACUCCCAGAAGCUCCUGCGAUGUGAACUUGAGUCGCUCAAGAGCCAGUUACAGGCCCAGACCAAGGCUUUCGAGUUCCUGAACCACUCAGUGACCAUGUUGGAGAAGGAGAGCUGCUUGCAGCAAAUCAAGAUUCAGCAGCUUGAAGAGGUGCUGAGCCCCACAGGCCGCCAGGGAGAGAAGGAGGAGCACAAGUGGGGCAUGGAGCAGGGCCGGCAGGAGCUGUAUGGGGCCCUGGCCCAAGGCCUUCAGGGGCUGGAGAAGACCCUGCGUGACAGUGAGGAGGUGCAGCGAGCCCACACCACUCGCUGCCUGCAGCUGCUGGCCCAGGAGAUCCGGGACAGGUCGGGGAUGGGGAUGGCGGGAGGGCAGCUUGGGGUCCACAUGAGGGAAGGGAGACCCAGAACUGGGGAAUGGAGGCAGGAUGGGGGAAAUGGCAGACGCCUGGGGGAGGCGGACUGAGGGAUGGUGGAAAGCCCGAGGGACAAGAAGAGGGAAUGAGGCCGGGUGUGGUGGCUCAUGCCUAUAAUCCCAGCACUUUGGGAAGCCAAGAUGGGUGGAUCACCUGAGGUCAGGAGUUCGAGACCAGCCUGGCCAACAUGGUGAAACCCCAUCUCUACUAAAAAUACAAGAAUUAGGCAUGGCGGCAGGUGCCUGUAAUCCCAGCUACUGGGGAAGCUGAAGCAGGAGAAUCACUGGAACCCAGGAGGCAGAGGCUGCAGUGAGCUGAGAUCGCGCCACUGCACUCCAGCCUGGGCGCCUGGGCGGCAGAGCGAGACUCUGUCUAAAAAAAAAAAAAAAAUGAGGAGGGAUGAGAGGCUCA